rnacentral:rRNA from 1 species
AUGGGAUGUUCGCACGCAAGAUGCAGAAGUUCGCCAGAAGGAAGAAGAGCUGGGCGUCGAGGAGGAGAAGAAGGUGGUAUGCGAGGUGCUUGCAGGCCCAGCAGCAGGAGGCCGUCCUUGAGGUGCUCCUCUGGAUGGUCCAUUCCGGCGCUGGGCCUACGUGUUCAAUGCUGCCCUCACCAUCCCCUUCUUCCAUUGGCUCAUCGGCCCGUCAGAGUUCAGAGAUCUAAUACUCCGCACUGCCUCCCGUCCAUUUUCAGAUAUAUAUAUUUAUAUAAGGUUUAUCAUCACCCCAUGGAUCAUGUGUUGUUGAUUGACCAGGUUAUUGAGGUGGAGGUCAACGGGGUGAGGCAGAGAAGUGGAGUGCUCAUAAAGAAACGAAGGUAUGUAUGA